rnacentral:lncRNA from 1 species
ACUUUAGUAGAAGCAUUAAUGGCCUAAAGUUGUCCGAUCAAUCUACCCAUAGUCUGAAGAAGAAAAGCAAUAUCUGAUGUGACUGAGUCGCUCGAGCCUCUCAUAUCUUCUCAUAGCCUCUCAUAUCUUCUCAUCGCUGCCAACUGCCAAACCCCAUCAAGCCUCGUAGACUCCCAACCUCUAUAAUUAGCUUUGAUAACUGAAUGCUGUCAUCCUGAUUAGAACAAGCUGUUCAUUUUUGUCCUCUCAUCUCAUGUUCUAGAUCCAUCAUUCUCCCACAUAAUCUAGUGACCAAAGUCUAAAGAUAAGAAAGCUCAAUGUUCUACUUGAUUAACAUCUGAGUGAUAGUGGAAAUAUGAGGCAUAACAGUUAUAUUCGAUGAAAGAGCCAUAGAAGAACCCUUUGCACUC